GAAGGUAUAGCUCAGUGGUAGGAUGCAUGCUUAGCAUGCAGAGAGGUCCUGGGUUCAAUCCCCAGUACCUCCA
rfam:Camelus ferus unplaced genomic scaffold scaffold1815, whole genome shotgun sequence.